rnacentral:rRNA from 1 species
GAAAGUCCCCUUCGGGGGACAAGUAGAGUGGCGCACGGGUGAGUAACACGUAGGUAAUCUACCUUUGGAUGGGGAAUAACAACCGGAAACGGUUGCUAAUACCGCAUAAUGCAGCGGCACCUAAUGGUGACAGUUGUUAAAGCGGGGGAUCGAAAGACCUCGCGUCUGAAGAGGAGCCUGCGGCGGAUUAGCUAGUUGGUAAGGUAAUGGCUUACCAAGGCUACGAUCCGUAACCGGCCUGAGAGGGCGGUCGGUCACACUGACACUGACAUACGGGUCAGACUCCUACGGGAGGCAGCAGUCGGGAAUUUUGGGCAAUGGGCGAAAGCCUGACCCAGCAACGCCGCGUGAAGGAUGAAAUCCCUCGGGAUGUAAACUUCGCAAGAACGGGAAGAAUAAGCGAGAGUUAAUAUCUUUCGUGAUGACGGUACCGUUUGUAAGCUCCGGCUAACUCCGUGCCAGCAGCCGCGGUAAUACGGGGGGAGCAAGCGUUGUUCGGAUUUACUGGGCGUAAAGGGCGCGUAGGCGGUCAGCACAAGUCAGUUGUGAAAUCUCCGAGCUUAACUCGGAACGGUCAACUGAUACUGUGCGACUAGAGUGCAGAAGGGGCAACUGGAAUUCUUGGUGUAGCGGUGAAAUGCGUAGAUAUCAAGAGGAACACCUGCGGCGAAGGCGGGUUGCUGGGCUGACACUGACGCUGAGGCGCGAAAGCCAGGGGAGCGAACGGGAUUAGAUACCCCGGUAGUCCUGGCCUUAAACG